rnacentral:rRNA from 1 species
AAUCAACGCUGGCGGCGUGCCUCAGACAUGCAAGUCGAACAAUUAAAGCUCCCUUCGGGGAGUGCAUAAAGUGGCGCACGGGUGAGUAACACGUAAGUAAUCUACCCUCGAGUGGGGAAUAACGUCCGGAAACGGACGCUAAUACCGCAUAAUGCAGCGGCACCGCAAGGUGACAGUUGUUAAAGAUUUAUCGCUUGAGGAGGAGCUUGCGGCAGAUUAGCUAGUUGGUGAGGUAAUGGCUUACCAAGGCCGCGAUCUGUAACCGGUCUAAGAGGACGGUCGGUCACACUGACACUGAAUAACGGGUCAGACUCCUACGGGAGGCAGCAGUCGGGAAUUUUGGGCAAUGGGCGAAAGCCUGACCCAGCAACGCCGCGUGAAGGAUGAAGUAUUUCGGUAUGUAAACUUCGAAAGAAUGGGAAGAAUAAAUGACGGUACCAUUUAUAAGCUCCGGCUAACUACGUGCCAGCCGUCGCGGUAACAC